rnacentral:misc_RNA from 1 species
UGGUUCUGGCAUCGAUGAAGAACGCAGCGAAAUGCGAUAAGUAAUGUGAAUUGCAGAAUUCAGUGAAUCAUCGAAUCUUUGAACGCACAUUGCGCCCGGUGGUAUUCCGCCGGGCAUGCCUGUUCGAGCGUCAUUAUAACCAAUCACGCCUGGCGUGGUGUUGGGGCACACGGUUCCGUGGCCCUCAAAAUCAGUGGCGGCGCCGGUAGGCUCUAAGCGUAGUAACUUCUCUCGCUAUAGGGUCCUCCUGGUCGCUCGCCAGAACCCCCCAUUUUUUUAAGGUUGACCUCGGAUCAGGUAGGGAUACCCGCUGA